GGCCGACUAGCUCAGUUGGUUAGAGCGUCGUGCUAAUAUGAGCUGAAAGGCAGUUAACGCGAAGGUCUUGGGUUCGAUCCCCACGUUGGCCA